rnacentral:lncRNA from 1 species
UUCGAAAUCACAUUUAGAGAACCAACCCAGAUCGAAACGGAUAUGGAAUUGAGUGAAAUCUACAAACAAAGCAUAGCAGAACCAACAAACCCAUCUGAACUGAACAUAGAUUUCCAACAGAAAACACCGGAAAACACAGGCAACAAUAAACCAGAAACCCAAGACGGUAUUGCCAAUAACAAACUUAGAUCCCAAAUCUGAACAAGAAAAG